rnacentral:rRNA from 1 species
AGCGAACGUUAGCGGCGGGCCUAACACAUGCAAGUCGAGCGAGAAAGCGGACUUCGGUCCGUGAGUAAAGCGGCAGACGGGUGAGUAACACGUGGGUAAUCUGCCCUCUGGCGGGGGAUAACAGUCCGAAAGGAUUGCUAAUACCGCAUACGUCGGCGAGCUCUUCGGAGCUCGUCGGGAAAGCGUGCCUCUGUUCACAAGCACGCACCGGAGGAGGAGCCCGCGUCGCAUCAGCUAGUUGGUGAGGCAACGGCUCACCAAGGCGAAGACGCGUAGCUGGUCUGAGAGGAUGAUCAGCCACACUGGGACUGAGACACGGCCCAGACUCCUACGGGAGGCAGCAGUGGGGAAUAUUGGGCAAUGGGCGCAAGCCUGACCCAGCCACGCCGCGUGAGUGAUGAAGGCCUUCGGGUCGUAAAGCUCUGUGGGAGGGACGGAAGAAGGCGCGUGAAAUACACGUCGUCGGUGACGGUACCUCCUUAGC